UACGGAGGGGUUAGCGUUGUUCGGAAUUACUGGGCGUAAAGCGUACGUAGGCGGAUCAGAAAGUUGGGGGUGAAAUCCCGGGGCUCAACCCCGGAACUGCCUCCAAAACUCCUGGUCUUGAGUUCGAGAGAGGUGAGUGGAAUUCCAAGUGUAGAGUGAAAUUCGUAGAUAUUUGGAGGAACACCAGUGGCGAAGGCGGCUCACUGGCUCGAUACUGACGCUGAGGUACGAAAGUGUGGGAGCAAACAGGAUUAGAUACCCGCGUAGUCC
rnacentral:rRNA from 1 species